rnacentral:rRNA from 1 species
AUUGAACGCUGGCGGCAGGCCUAACACAUGCAAGUCGAACGGUAACAGGAAGAAGCUUGCUUCUUUGCUGACGAGUGGCGGACGGGUGAGUAAUGUCUGGGAAACUGCCUGAUGGAGGGGGAUAACUACUGGAAACGGUAGCUAAUACCGCAUAACGUCGCAAGACCAAAGAGGGGGACCUUCGGGCCUCUUGCCAUCGGAUGUGCCCAGAUGGGAUUAGCUAGUAGGUGGGGUAACGGCUCACCUAGGCGACGAUCCCUAGCUGGUCUGAGAGGAUGACCAGCCACACUGGAACUGAGACACGGUCCAGACUCCUACGGGAGGCAGCAGUGGGGAAUAUUGCACAGUGGGCGCAAGCCUGAUGCAGCCAUGCCGCGUGUAUGAAGAAGGCCUUCGGGUUGUAAAGUACUUUCAGCGGGGAGGAAGGGAGUAAAGUUAAUACCUUUACUCAUUGACGUUACCCGCAGAAGAAGCACCGGCUAACUCCGU